CAAAUUUUUUUAAUCAAUUUUUUGUUGGGCCCAUGGCCAUUUUAUUGAUUGACAAGCAAAAUAGGUUUGGCCAAACGACCCAAUAAGAAAUAAAUCCAGCCCAGAAAUUAACCCUAUAAACUUCCGCCUCCUUCUCACUUUCCUUGUAUCCUUGUCGUCCAUAUGCUCCCAUCCGGCAGUCGUUAGAACCUCCAGCUUCGCCGUCUUCUUCUAUGGGUUUGGUGCCUUCAUGCCACCCUCCUCCACUUUUGGCAGCUCACAUAAGAGCAUUCACUACUAAAAGUACUGUGAAGUCCACCAGUGUGUGGAAAUCUUGGAGGUAGCUAUUGUGAGUGUGCCAUUUGAACACAGACAUAUGUAACUAGGAUUGGCAUACGGCGCACCGUUGAUCCAGUGAGCAACUCAGGGUUAGUUGGACAGCCUUCUUACAUUCCGGAGGCAUCUUUUAUCACUUGCUUUUUGUUUUUCAGUUGUUAGGAUGAUUGGAGGUCUUGUCCUCUUUGUUUUAGAGGCUUCAUAGACAUAUAUUAUUAGUUCUUUAGUCUUAUUCAUCUCAAUUGUAAACGUUUAAGACAUGUUUUUCU